CUCAGUCUCAUAUUUUGUGCCUACUGCUUUGGAAGAUGCUCUUCUUCUCUUCCCAAGCAUUCAAAGUAUCUAACUAGUUGUGGUUUUCCUGUUGACUGAUGUGCUGACCCCAGCAAGUGGCACCAAAGUGAAGGCUCAACUAUGGGGAAGGCAGAGAAGGACACCUCCUGGAAUGCUCAGGAAAAGUGAAAGUGUUGGCAGUGGAGGUGUAGGAGUACAAGGCCAGGACAUAAAGCACCCUGUUACACCUGGAAGUCAGAGAUCCCAAACCAGGAUGCUCAAGGAGCAUGUGGUCGCCAGAAGCAUUGGUGAGACAUGCUGAUGCUGGGACAAAGAAUGAUAUUGACCAUGAUUUUUCUGAGUGCUCUUAAAAAAUAAACUAAAUGGAAAAGUUGCUAC
rnacentral:lncRNA from 1 species